rnacentral:rRNA from 1 species
UAUUCCCCACUGCUGCCUCCCGUAGGAGUCUGGGCCGUGUCUCAGUCCCAAUGUGGCCGUCCGCCCUCUCAGGCCGGCUACCGAUCGUUGCUUUGGUGGGCCGUUACCCCGCCAACUGGCUAAUCGGACGCGGGCCCAUCCUGUACCGUCGGAGCUUUUCACACUGUACCAUGCGGUACUGUGCGCUUAUGCGGUAUUACCAGCCGUUUCCAGCUGCUAUCCCCCAGUACAGGGCAGGUUGCCCACGCGUUACUCACCCGUCCGCCACUAACCUUCCGGAAUUUCAUAGCAAGCUAAUCAUUUCCAUGGGUCCGUUCGACUUGCAUGUGUUAGGCACGCCGCCAGCGUUCAUCCUGAGCCAA